AUGAUUUAUGUCCCAGAGUACCAAAUAUAUUGCUAAGUAGCUUAAGAAAAAAGGGACGUGUCAUAAACAAGAAAACUGAAGAAAGACGACAUAGGUAUUUCCCAUUUCACAAUAAGCAUAUUGAAGUCUGGCGGCAGUAACUAAGGACAAAACUACCAUAUGAUAUGAGCCGCCAACUAUCCGUUCUUUUAGUCCAUGGGACUAACCUUAUUUAUCUUCAUCAGAAUCAUCAACGCUGGAAACUAAGAUAAAGGUACCAGAAAACUACUUUCAUCAGAAAAGUUUACUCAGAGGCCAACUGAAGGAGCUGUAGACGUUGUUGAGUAGAAUCUGUUGCUACUAGAAUCGUUGAACCUGAUAAUAUGGAACCUCUAGUAUUUUUAGGAUACAAAAUAAUUUUUCUGCUGGGAGGUGCUCAUUAACAAUGGUUCAUGACACGUACCAUGAACUAGCACGAAGAGCUUAGGAGCUGAUGUUGUUGAAUUUACUUAUCAGUACUAAACUUAUUAGAAACUUGCUUUCCUCCAUUACAUUGUUUUCUCUUGUUUUGAACUAUGGGCCGAUAGUAUGAACCAUUAUAACUUGCUAGAUACUCAAUCUUGUACCUUAUGAUCAGAAAAAAGAACGAACCAGCAGACCAGUUAUGUUAAUCGGUUUCAUACUUUAUUAUCUCUGUGCUUUGUAAUUGGUAAUAGUGAUAAAUAAAAAGUGUAAGGAACUUGAGUGGCUGUUUUUUAA